rnacentral:lncRNA from 1 species
CGGGUGUAGACGAGGCGGGCCCUGCGAGAGAAGUGCCGGGGAAGGGAGACGGCGUUCAGCUCUGAUCCUCCCCCUUGCCUCGCUCUGCCUGAUCUUGGACUGAAACACCGAAAGCAAAGAGACAGGUGGCAGCGGAACUCACACUUACUGAACAACUUAUCUUCUAUGUGUCAGAAACAGCUCUAGAUACUUGGUAUUUGCCUUCCAUUUCAUCUUCUCAACAACCACACAAAAUCCUUCUGCUGAAAGUUCAAUUUGUGCCACCUGAAGCCUUCCAAGCUACUCUAGUCCUCAGUAAUAACUUCAUACUUGGGCCUGUAUGGUUUGAAUCCUACUUUAG